rnacentral:rRNA from 1 species
GUGUCAGCAGCCGCGGUAAAACGUAGGUACCGAGCGUUAUCCGGAUUUACUGGGCGUAAAGCGUGUUCAGGCGGUCUAGCAAGUCGGGCAUGAAAUCUCUCGGCUCAACCGGGAGGGGUUGUCCGAUACUGCUGGGCUGGAGGGCAGCAGAGGGUGGUGGAAUUCCGGGUGUAGUGGUGAAAUGCGUAGAUAUCCGGAGGAACACCAGUGGCGAAGGCGGCCACCUGGGCUGUACCUGACGCUAACACACGAAAGCUAGGGGAGCGAACGGGAUUAGAAACCCCGGUAGUCCUAGCCGUAAACGAUGUUGACUAGGUGUCGACGGUCUAAACCCCGCCGGUGCCGGAGCUAACGCACGAAGUCAACCGCCUGGGGACUACGGCCGCAAGGUUAAA